GGAAGAUAAACCAACACAUGGACAGAGAGAACUGUUUGGUGGUUACCAGGGGCAAGGGGGAUAGGGGGUAGGCACAGGGGUGAAGGGGUUCAUUUAUAUGGUGACUGACAAACAAUAAUGUACAACAAAAAUUUCACAAUGUAAAAAAUUAUUAUG